rnacentral:piRNA from 1 species
UUGUCAACUUCAAUUAAAGAC